UACGUAGGUGGCGAGCGUUGUCCGGAUUUAUUGGGCGUAAAGGGCGCGUAGGUGGUGGCUUAAGCGUGCGGUGAAAGCUCGGAGCUCAACUCCGAGUCGGCCGUGCGAACUGGGCUCACUGGAGCAUAGUAGAGGCAGGUGGAAUUCCGGGUGUAGCGGUGGAAUGCGUAGAGAUCCGGAAGAACACCGGUGGCGAAGGCGGCCUGCUGGGCAGUUACUGACACUGAGGCGCGACAGCGUGGGGAGCAAACAGG
rnacentral:rRNA from 1 species